AUUUUUUCGUUUUAAAAUUACGGAAGUGGAAUGCAGAUUUGCGUUCCACAGAGAGAGUAAGUUACACACCAGACCAUGUGAUCGACAAACGAACAGAACAUGCGCUCCUUUGAGAACACUUCCGGGUACACAGAUGACGAUAAUUUGGAAAUCAGGACGGAAUAAAAGACUGAACUGCUUUCCACAAAGUAUUCACCAACUGAGGAAGCCAGCUGAUGGCGAAAUGCGUUUUGGAC